rnacentral:rRNA from 1 species
AUACGGAGGGUGCAAGCGUUAUCCGGAAUCAUUGGGUUUAAAGGGUCCGUAGGCGGAUUGGUAAGUCAGUGGUGAAAGUCUGCAGCUUAACUGUAGAAUUGCCAUUGAUACUGCUAGUCUUGAAUUACUGUGAAGUGAUUAGAAUGUGUAGUGUAGCGGUGAAAUGCAUAGAUAUUACACAGAAUACCAAUUGCGAAGGCAGAUCACUAACAGUAUAUUGACGCUGAGGGACGAAAGCGUGGGGAGCGAACAGGAUUAGAAACCCUAGUAGUCC